UACGAAGGGGGCUAGCGUUGUUCGGAAUUACUGGGCGUAAAGCGCACGCAGGCGGUCUGUUUAGUCGGGAGUGAAAGCCCCGGGCUCAACCCGGGAAAUGCUCUCGAUACUGACAGGCUAGAAUCACGGAGAGGGUAGUGGAAUUCCGAGUGUAGAGGUGAAAUUCGUAGAUAUUCGGAAGAACACCAGUGGCGAAGGCGACUACCUGGCCGUCGAUUGACGCUCAUGUGCGAAAGCGUGGGGAGCAAACAGG
rnacentral:rRNA from 1 species